UACGAAGGGGGCUAGCGUUGUUCGGAAUUACUGGGCGUAAAGCGCGCGUAGGCGGCUUUGCAAGUCGAUUGUGAAAUCCCCAGGCUUAACCUGGGAACUGCAUUCGAGACUGCAUAGCUAGAGUAUGGGAGAGGGAAGUGGAAUUUCAGGUGUAGCGGUGAAAUGCGUAGAGUAGUGCGAGGAACACCGAUGGCGAAGGCAGCCCCCUGGGCCGACAUUGACGCUCAGGCACGAAAGCGUGGGGAGCAAACGAGGAUUA
rnacentral:rRNA from 1 species